GCUGACUUCUGAGAUCUGAAAGAAGAGAUUGAUGCUGGGAGAGAGAGAAGCUUAAUGUUGAUAUUCAUCAGAGAUGAGCCCCUUGGCAUUGCAGCCUGAGACUUAUCAGAAAAGGUUCAAGUGAUUCUCCUGUCUCAGCCUCCCGAGUAGCUGGGGACUACAGAUGCGCACCACCAUGCCCGGCUAAUUUUUGUAUUUUUCGGCGGAGACAGGGUUUUACCGUGUUGCCCAGCUGGUCUCAAACUUCUGACCUCAAGUGAUUUGCCUGCCUUGGCCUCCCAGAAUGCUGGCAUUACAGGUGUGAGCCACCGCUCCAGGACUAUAUUAUCAAUCUCUAUCCGGUAAUUGCUUCCCUGGGAAGAGAGAAAGCCAACUAAAAUCAGAUCGAACGAAAAGGAAAGAAGAUUGGAUAUGAAAACCUACAGAGCCCAACAUUCCAGGACAUCGGAGUAGCCACUGAAGACAAUUUAGAAGGAAUGAUAGAAAGGCAACCACUUUUUCUCUUCAAAUCAAACCAAGGUUUUGGCAUACUAGAAAUGAAAAGCAGAGUUCCUCCUUUGUAAGUGCAGCUUGACCAGAUCAGAGAUUUGACUUUCCUGGGGGACUUUGUUUCUAGAGAUCAGUGUCUCUCUUCUGCUGUAUUAGAGAUAUUUUUCUCCUCCUAUUGAGUUCCGGUUGAAAUGUGAACCUCUGACACAUUAGUUCCCUGUAGCAUGGUCAAGACAAGGUUACUAGAUUUCCAUAAGACAUUCUUAAAUUCAGCAGCUUUUUUCAACCUAUCCCCCAGUCAACAGUAAUAACAUGAUGGGUGAUAUUCACUAGGGCCACAGAGGUAAAAAGCAACUAUAGGUACACAGAUUAAAAUAAAUGGUAAAACCUAUGUUACAUGUUAAACUCUAUCACAGGCACAAGGAAAAGUAAUUUUUGAAAAUAAAUUAAUUUGUUCUAUACAGGCAAAUUUCAGGAUUUCAGGGACAAAGAUGACAUUCUAAACACACACUCUUGGCUCUUUUUCUCUCUCAGUUUCUCAAAAAAAAUGACAAAAUAAUGUAAUUUAAAAAAUUCUAUAGAUUACUGAAGAUUAGAGAAGGGACUGACUCUGUUUGGAGGCAAGUCUCUGUGGGUUUCUUAUAUUUCUGUAUAUCUCACAAGCAGAGGCAAUGGCCACAUUGGUUCUGGACUAUCUUUUCAAGGAUGUUUGUAUAGCAAACAGUCUUGGAAGACAGAGAUAGUGCCUCCCAACAUAACAAAUGGCAGGCAUUAUAAAAGAUUCAGAUACCCUAAGCUCAGGGUUCCUCUCUUGUAACUCAACCCACUGCAUGUGAAGGAGACACCUGGUUGUCUUCUACUCACUCUGUGAGAUCUGAGACUCAGAGAAUCAGUACAAGAUAAAGCAAAUGCUCUAGCUACUGCUAUUGCUGUAAUAAAGUUCUUUGCCUCUGACCCAAGAGUCUCAUGUCUUCUGUCAACAUCCAUGAAACUGGUAGCUUAACCUGUUAAUUUGCAAGUAGAGUAAAAUCUCAGACCCUUUAUAACUCUUGAUAAUUUUGCUGACAUGGAU
rnacentral:lncRNA from 1 species